UACGGAGGGUGCGAGCGUUGUCCGGAAUCAUUGGGCGUAAAGGGCGCGUAGGUGGCCUGGCAAGCGUGCGGUGAAAGCUCGGGGCUCAGCCCCGAGUCGGCCGUGCGAACUGCUAUGGCUCGAGCACGGUAGAGGCAGGCGGAAUUCCGGGUGUGGCGGUGGAAUGCGUAGAGAUCCGGAAGAACGCCGGUGGCGAAGGCGGCCUGCUGGGCAGUAGCUGACGCUGAGGCGCGACAGCGUGGGGAGCAAACAGG
rnacentral:rRNA from 1 species